rnacentral:rRNA from 1 species
CAGAGCCGCGGUAAUACAGAGGGUGCGAGCGUUAAUCGGAUUUACUGGGCGUAAAGCGUGCGUAGGCGGCUUCUUAAGUCGGAUGUGAAAUCCCUGAGCUUAACUUAGGAAUUGCAUUCGAUACUGGGAAGCUAGAGUAUGGGAGAGGAUGGUAGAAUUCCAGGUGUAGCGGUGAAAUGCGUAGAGAUCUGGAGGAAUACCGAUGGCGAAGGCAGCCAUCUGGCCUAAUACUGACGCUGAGGUACGAAAGCAUGGGGAGCAAACAGGAUUAGAUACCCGAGUAGUCCCUGUCUCUUAUACA